rnacentral:lncRNA from 1 species
GGCCCUCCCGUGUCAUUGCAGGUCUGUGUGGGUCUGUCUGUCCAUCCCUGUGUGUCCCCAGGUGUCCCUGAGUGUCCUCUCGGAUGUCCCCAGGUGUCCCUGAGUGUCCCCUCGGAUGUCCCCAGGUGUCCCUGGGUGUCCCCUCGGGUGUCCCCAGGUGGCACCGAGUGUCAGCGGGGUCUUUGUCGCCCUCCUGUGGCCCUCCCGUGUCAUUGCAAGUGUGUGUGGGUCUGUCUGUCCAUCCCUGGGUGGGGUCUCUGUCUGUCCAUCCCUGGGUGGGGUCUCUGUCUGUCCAUUCCUGGGUGUCCCCAGGUGUCCCUGAGUGUCCCCUCCGAUGUCCCCAGGUGUCCCUAGGGGUCCCCUCGGGUGUCCCCAGGUGGCACCGAGCGUCAGCGGGGUCUUUGUCGCCCUCCUGUGGCCCUCCCGUGUCAUUGCAAGUCUGUGUGGGUCUGUCUGUCCAUCCCUGGCUGGGGUCUCUGUCUGUCCAUCCCUGGGUGUCCCCAGGUGUCCCUGGGGGUCCCCUCGGAUGUCCCCAGGUGUCCUCUCAGAUGUCCCCAGGUGUCCCUGAGUGUCACCGGGGUCACUGUGGCAUCGCUGUGUCCCCCCUGAGUGUCGCCCGCCUGUGGCUGUCCUGUGUUCCUGCGUGUCCAUCUGGGUCUCUGGGUGUCCCCAAGUCUGGGGACAGCGCCAUCAGUGACCUGGCAAUGUCCCCAGGUGUCCCUGGGUGUCCCCUCGGGUGUCCCCAGGUGGCACAGAGUGUCAGCGCGGUCUUUGUCGCCCUCCUGUGGCCCUCCCCUGUCACUGCAAGUCUGUGUGGGUCUGUCUGUCCAUCCCUGAGUGUCCCCCUCAGAUGUCCCCAAGUGUCCCCAGAUGUCGUUGUGGCCCUCCUGUGUCCCUCUGAGUGUCCCCAGGGUCGUUGUCGCCCUCCUGUGGCCGUCCCGUGUCACUGCAUGUCCAUCUGGGUGUCCCCAAGUCUGGGGACAGCGCCAUCGGCCACUCGGGGAUGUCCCCAGGUGUCCCCUGAGUGUCACCCAGUGUCGUGGUCGCCCUCCUGUGGCCCUGAGUGUCCAUCUGGGUCUCUGUCUGUCCAUCCCUGGGUGUCCCCUCAGAUGUCCCCAAACCUGGGGACAUCUCUGGGUGUCCGCCUGUCCCCUCCUGAUGUCCCAAACUCCGAGGACAUCGCCACCGUCACUGGGGACACCUGAUGUCCCCAAAUGUCCCCAGCUCCAAGGACACCACCACCAGCUGGUGACAUCCCUGUCCCCUCCUGAUGUCCCCAAAUGUCCCCAACUCC